UCUUCUUCUGCCUGGUAGAUGAUCAAAUGAAUUUGUUUACAACCCUAAGUUAGACAUUCAAUAGAGGUGUUGUGAGAGCUUAACUGCUGUGCUAAAGAAGAGAAAAGAAAGAACUAGACAGGUAAAGUGUCUUGUAGAAGUUCACAUAGAUGAUUCCUGACCCAGUGAAGACUGUAAAUAAGAUCUUCUGAACACUGAUUUUACUCCUUAGAUGAGUCUUUUGGAUCUUGCUUCCAGAUUUUCAAAUGAUGUAAACGACAACCCUAAUCAGUCAGCAGAAUUUCUUUGAGAGUAUAGCUGUUACAUGAGAGCUAGGAAAAAAAAGUCAUUUAUGAAGAGAUACUUUCCAUACAAAGAUGAAUCAUCAUCUUGGAGAAUCUGGAGCACAGAAGUCAAAUUUAAAUAACAAAUAGACUCAGAAAGACAGGUAAAACAAGAGCAAAAAUUCACAUUGGAGUGCAGGAAACGCUGUUUUGGGAAAACAAGUUUAUAAGCAAAGAACAAAUGAAAAGUUCCUCCUUU